UGAUGCAUGCUACUUGGUUU
rnacentral:miRNA from 1 species